CCGAUAGUGAACUAGUACCGUGAGGGAAAGGUGAAAAGAACCCCUAAAGGGGAGUGAAAUAGAACUGAAACCGUAUGCUUACAAGCCGUUGGAGCAAUUUAUUGUGACAGCGUGCCUAUUGAAGAAUGAGCCGGCGAGUUAAUUUAUGUAGCAAGGUUAAGAUAUUCAGUAUUGGAGCCGAAGCGAAAGCGAGUCUGAAUAGGGCGUUUAGUUGCAUGGAUUAGACCCGAAACCGUGUGAGCUACCCAUGACCAGGGUGAAGCGAAAUUAACGUUUCGUGAAGGCCCGAACCCUUGUACGCUGCAAAGUGCUGGGAUGAGUUGUGGGUAGAGGAGAAAUUCCAAACGAACACGGAGAUAGCUGGUUCUCCCCGAAAUGUAUUUAGGUACAGCCUUAGGUAUUAACUGAUGGAGGUAGAGCACUGGAUGAGCUAGCGGGCGCAAGUUUAGCAAACUCAACCAAACUAAGAAUGCCAUCAGCCGAAUCCUAGGAGUGAGACAGUGACGGAUAAGCGCCAUUGUCGAAAGGGAAACAGCCCAGAUCGCAAGCUAAGGUCCCAAAGUUAUAGUUAAGUGGUAAAGGAGGUUGGAUCGCCCAGACAGCUAGUAGGUUGGCUUAGAAGCAGCCAUCCUUUAAAGAGUGCGUAAUAGCUCACUAGUCGAGGGGUUCUGCGCCGAAAAUUAUCGGGGCUAAACUAUACACCGAAGCUGCGGGAUUCUUUAUGAAUCGGUAGGGGAGCGUUCUCAAUGCACUGAAUCUGAAUUGUGAAAUUUGGUGGAGCGUUGAGAAGUGAGAAUGUCGGCAUGAGUAGCGACAAUCUUUGUGAGAAUCAAAGACACCGGAAGUCCGAGGUUUCCUACGCAACGUUGAUCGGCGUAGGGUUAGUCGGUCCUAAGGAGAAGCCGAAAGGUGAAUUCGAUGGACAGCUGGUCAAAAUUCCAGCACCGUAAUUAUCCUGUUAUGCAACGAAGGGACGCGAUAAGGACUGUUAAGCAUGCCUAUGGACAUGGUGUGUGGGGCCUUGUAGGGAAGUGAUUGUGGUUAAAAGAACAGUUACGUUAUUAACUGAGAAGGUUUCAGACCUUAAGGCUUCGGCCUUAGGGAAUUUAACACGAACUAUGUCGCCAAGAAAAGCUUCGUUGAUAGGGAUAUUAUGACCGUACCGAAAACCGACACAGGUGGACAGGGGUAAAAGCCCCAAGGUGAACGAGAAAACCAUCCUCAAGGAACUCGGCAAAUUAACCCCGUAACUUCGGAAUAAGGGGAGCCUAAAAUAUAUAGACUUCGCGUUGAAAGUAUUUUAGGCCGCAGAGAAUUGGUCUGAGCGACUGUUUAUCAAAAACACAGGUCCGUGCUAAAGCGAAAGCUGAUGUAUACGGGCUGACGCCUGCCCAGUGCCGGUAGGUUAAAGUGAAGAGUGAGAGCUUUGAUCUGAAGCCCCGGUGAACGGCGGCCGUAACUAUAACGGUCCUAAGGUAGCGAAAUCCCUUGUCGGGUAAGUUCCGACCUGCACGAAAGGCGUAACGACUUGGACACUGUCUCGAGGGUGGACUCGGUGAAAUUGCAUGACCCGUAAAGAUGCGGGUUACGCGCAGCAGGACAAAAAGACCCCGUGGAGCUUUACUGUAGCUUGGCAUUGAAUUGUGAUUAAUGAUGUGUAGGAUAGGCGGGAGACUAUGAAUUUUGAGCGUCAGCUCAAUUGGAGUCGCCCUUGAAAUACCGCCCUUCUUUGGUCUUGAUUCUAACUUUUUUAGGACAGUGUCUGGUAGGCAGUUUGACUGGGGCGGUCGCCUCCUAAAAUGUAACGGAGGCGCCCAAAGGUAACCUCAGGCUGGAUGGAAAUCAGCUUUUGAGUGCAUUGGCAUAAGGUUGCUUGACUGCGAGACCAACAAGUCGAGCAGGGACGAAAGUCGGGCAAAGUGAUCCCACGGUACCGAGUGGAAGGGCCGUGGCUUAACGGAUAAAAGCUACCCCGGGGAUAACAGGCUUAUCUCCCCCAAGAGUCCAUAUCGACGGGGAGGUUUGGCACCUCGAUG
rnacentral:rRNA from 1 species